rnacentral:rRNA from 1 species
UACAGGGGGUGCAAACGUUGCUCGGAAUUAUUGGGCGUAAAGCGCGCGUAGGCGGUUGCUUAAGUCGGAUGUGAAAGCCCUUGGCUUAACUGAGGAAGUGCACCCGAAACUGAGCAGCUUGAGUAUGACAGAGGGUCGCGGAAUUCCCGGUGUAGAGGUGAAAUUCGUAGAUAUCGGGAGGAACACCGGUGGCGAAGGCGGCGACCUGGGUCAAAACUGACGCUGAGGCGCGAAAGCGUGGGGAGCAAACAGG